rnacentral:rRNA from 1 species
AGAGUUUGAUCCUGGCUCAGGACGAACGCUGGCGGCGUGCCUAAUACAUGCAAGUCGAGCGGACAGAAGGGAGCUUGCUCCCGGAUGUUAGCGGCGGACGGGUGAGUAACACGUGGGUAACCUGCCUGUAAGACUGGGAUAACUCCGGGAAACCGGAGCUAAUACCGGAUAGUUCCUUGAACCGCAUGGUUCAAGGAUGAAAGACGGUUUCGGCUGUCACUUACAGAUGGACCCGCGGCGCAUUAGCUAGUUGGUGGGGUAAUGGCUCACCAAGGCGACGAUGCGUAGCCGACCUGAGAGGGUGAUCGGCCACACUGGGACUGAGACACGGCCCAGACUCCUACGGGAGGCAGCAGUAGGGAAUCUUCCGCAAUGGACGAAAGUCUGACGGAGCAACGCCGCGUGAGUGAUGAAGGUUUUCGGAUCGUAAAGCUCUGUUGUUAGGGAAGAACAAGUGCGAGAGUAACUGCUCGCACCUUGACG